GUAGGCCAGGAGAACAAAUAUCUGUUUCCUGUUUGUUUUCUUCAGUUUCUCUGUGGAACCAUAAAGAGCUUUUGAUUUAUGUGGCUUAUAUCUCUCAGUAUUUACCAUGUGCGGUGUGCUUAAUCACUUCAGUCAUGUCUAACUCUUUGUGAACCCACAGACUGUAGCCCGCCAGGCUCCUCUGUCCACUGGAUUCUCCAGGCAAGAAUACUAAAGUGGGUUGCCAUUUCCUACUCCAGCACAUCUUCCUGAUUGAACCUGUAUCUCCUGAAUCUCCUGUAUUGGCAGACAAGUUCUUUACCACUAGCGCCACCCAGGAAGCCCAGUAUAAGCCCAAGAAUACUGGCUAGCCUAGCCCUUCUCCAGUGAAUCUUCCUGACCCAGGAAUCCAACCAGGGUCUCCUGCAUUGCAGGCAUGUGGGGAUCAAACCUGUACCCCUUGCAUUGGAAGACAAAGUCUCAACCACUGGACUGCCGGGGAGGCCCCUAUAUGGCAUCUCUGCAAGAAGGACACUUCCCUCGAAAGCUCAAUCUGAGUCAGGGAAGUGGAAGGAUGUAUCUGCCUCCACCGUCAGUCUUUUGCUUCAGACUGUGCAACCAUCCCUGUUCUACAGGGCUUAUGGAAGACGUGAUUGAUGACAUGCAAAUUUACACUUGAGAUCUUCUGCUGAAGAUCUUCCCCUCCAAGGAUCAAACCUAACUACUCAGCCAACUGUUGUCAAUGUUUGAUUAAAUGCGCUCUGUUCUCUAUAUGCUCUGUGUGAAAAAGUUCACAUGGAAGUAUUGGCAGGGGAGGCUUGUGUCAUCUUCCCUAAGUGCUUCAGAGGUUAACUCUGAGAUGUCAGGAGCACUGUGGGCAAAUUGCAGAAGCCAGAGAGGGCCUCUGUCAGCAUCCGAGAUCUGUGCCAGCGGUUUUCUGAAGAGGCCCUGGGGUUUGCAGGUAGAGCACCGAAUCACCUGGGGGCUUUCUCAGACUACACUCGCCAGUUGCUUCCCCCAAACCCCGAGAGAUGGAUCUCGCCUCGCCACCAGCCUGUUUAAAAUCGCUGAUCUGGGUUGUUAGGAAAGAGCUUCAUUAAACUUAAAUUUAGCAUGUGAGGCUGUGGAUAACCCCAUCUCUGUUUCGGAGAAACAACUGUUUACUAUUCUAACACUCUGGAAACCUGGCAAGCCGCUAUGGGAGGGCUGGCAACCCUGAGCUCCCGAGGCUUCUGUGCAGCUGCUCUGUAAGGGACCCCUGCCCCAAGGGCUCCCACCUGCCCAGCUUGGUGUUCAAAUUAGGAGGGGGUACAUGACCAAGAACUUUGCAGGACCCAGAAGGGCAGCCGGAACCUAUUUUUGAUGAUCCUGAGGAUUAUUAAGAAAGGAAAUUCCACAAAGUCCUUGUAACUCUCAGAAAGGAUUUUGUUCCACUGCUUGCUUGCUUUGUCUUCCAAUUCUAUUUCUGGAUUUCCCUCUUUACGUUUCUAGGUCUGGAACUGAAUAGCAAUGAAGUAAAAGUGAUCAUCCUAAAGAGAUAUUCCUGAGUGAAAAAAUGGGUUACUGAGAAUCCCUGCCCCCACCUAUGUGAUGGUGGUCUUGGUGGACUUGUGGGAGGUUUUGAAGGACAACUGGAGCCCUGGGAAUUCGGAGGGGGAUUUUUACUCUAUUGUCACUUACUCUAGGGGAAAGGCGAUGUGGGUUACAGCUACCCAGGUAGUGGGGCUGAGUUAAUUGCUGCACACUGAGAAACUGC
ensembl:lncRNA